rnacentral:tRNA from 1 species
GGAGGGUAUAGCUCAGUGGCAGAGUGCAUGCUUAGCAUGCAUGAGGUCCUGGGUUCAAUCCCCAGUACCUCCU